rnacentral:rRNA from 1 species
AUUGAACGCUGGCGGCAGGCCUAACACAUGCAAGUCGAGCGGCAGCGGGAAAGUAGCUCGCUACUUUUGCCGGCGAGCGGCGGACGGGUGAGUAAUGCCUGGGAAAUUGCCCAGUCGAGGGGGAUAACAGUUGGAAACGACUGCUAAUACCGCAUACGCCCUACGGGGGAAAGCAGGGGACCUUCGGGCCUUGCGCGAUUGGAUAUGCCCAGGUGGGAUUAGCUAGUUGGUGAGGUAAUGGCUCACCAAGGCGACGAUCCCUAGCUGGUCUGAGAGGAUGAUCAGCCACACUGGAACUGAGACACGGUCCAGACUCCUACGGGAGGCAGCAGUGGGGAAUAUUGCACAAUGGGGGAAACCCUGAUGCAGCCAUGCCGCGUGUGUGAAAAAGGCCUUCGGGUUGUAAAGCACUUUCAGCGAGGAGGAAAGGUUGAUGCCUAAUACGUAUCAACUGUGACGUUACUCGCAGAAGAAGCACCGGCUAACUCCGUGCCAGCCGCCGCCGUAA